UGACAGAUUGAGAGCUCUUUCUUGAUUCGGUGGGUGGUGGUGCAUGGCCGUUCUUAGUUGGUGGAGCGAUUUGUCUGGUUAAUUCCGAUAACGAACGAGACUCUAGCCUGCUAACUAGGCGAUUUCCGGUACCCACAAUAGUGUUACCGGCGAUUCAAUUUCUUCUUAGAGGGACAGGCGGCUCCUAGCCGCACGAGACUGAGCAAUAACAGGUCUGUGAUGCCCUUAGAUGUCCUGGGCCGCACGCGCGCUACACUGAAGGAA
rnacentral:rRNA from 1 species